AGUGAACGCUGGCGGCGUGCUUAACACAUGCAAGUCGAACGAGAACGGAUUAUAGCUUGCUAUAAUUGUCAGCUAAGUGGCGCACGGGUGAGUAAUGUAUAGGCAAUAUGCCUCUUACUAAGGGAUAACAAAUGGAAACGUUUGCUAAUACCUUAUACUCCUUAUUAACAUAAGUUAAUAAGGGAAAGAUUUAUUGGUAAGAGAUUAGCCUGUAUUGUAUCAGUUAGUUGGUGGGGUAAUGGCUUACCAAGACUAUGACACAUAACUGGUUUGAGAGGAUGAUCAGUCACACUGGAACUGAGACACGGUCCAGACUCCUACGGGAGGCAGCAGUGGGGAAUAUUGCACAAUGGACGAAAGUCUGAAGCAGCAACGCCGCGUGGAGGAUGACACAUUUCGGUGCGUAAACUCCUUUUAUAUGAGAAGAUAAUGACGGUAUUAUAUGAAUAAGCACCGGCUAACUCCGUGCCAGCCGCCGCCGUAA
rnacentral:rRNA from 1 species